AAUAUACACACUAUAUAACUAUUGGACAGGCUUACCAUGAUAAUUUGAAAUUUCCAAGCUAUAUGGUAUAAAGUCCAAAGGAGUUCCAUUCAUCAAUGAAGAGGUUGUUUGUCACUAAAGCAUGAUGACUGUACUGUGAAUUAAAGUGAUCAGGAGGACUGGCCUCUUCAACUAAAAACAACAAAAGAAACCUUACAAUGAUUUGUCAAUGACCACAAUGAAGAGUCCCUGUUGUUUACUCUUGAUAUAAUGACAACAAUCAAUCAAUACUGACACAAAAUGGAACCUACCAUCAGACAGGUCGGUAAUGUCAUUUCUAGGAAAACUAAAAGGAGGCACACACCUGACUCUGUUGGACUUGGCAAGUGACAUGUCUCAUGAUUCAAAUUUGAAGUUUCAUCAACACUUUGUUCCAAAGAAUCAUUGUGUAUCGUGCAGAGAUCAUCUAAAUCUGAAAUGACAUGUUCUAUCGCUGUUUUAAGUGCCUGUUCUUUCUUGUUUAAAGUUUCCUCCAAAGAAGUGACUUUAUUAGUGAGUUCUUCUUCCAGCUGGUUACGCUGUUGCUUCCCAUAUUUCAGUUUUUCAUCUUU